rnacentral:rRNA from 1 species
UUAAAGGAAUUGACGGAAGGGCACCACCAGGAAUGGAGCAUGCGGCUUAAUUUGACUCAACACGGGAAAACUUACCCGGCCCGGACACAGGAAGGAUUGACAGAUUAAGAGCUCUUUCUUGAUUCUGUGGGUGGUGGUGCAUGGCCGUUCUUAGUUGGUGGAGCGAUUUGUCUGGUUAAUUCCGAUAACGAACGAGACUCUAGCCUACUAAAUAGACGUUCCGAUCCACUGCGUCGGACGUUCUUCUUAGAGGGACAAGCGGCGUUUAGCCGCACGAGACAGAGCAAUAACAGGUCAGUGAUGCCCUUAGAUGUUCGGGGCCGCACGCGCGCUACAUUGAAGGAAUCAGCGUGUGCUUUCCCUGUCCGACAGGACUGGGUAACCCGUUGAAACUCUUUCGUGCUGGGGAUAGGGAUUUGUAAUUGUCUCCCUUGAACGAGGAAUUCCCAGUAAGCGCGAGUCAUAAGCUCGCGUUGAUUACGUCCCUGCCCUUUGUACACACCGCCCGUCGCUACUACCGAUUGAACGAUUUAGUGAGGUCUUCGGACUGGCGCUCGGAGCGGCUUUCGGGUCGUGCCGGCGUGCCGGAAAGAUGACCGAACUUGACCGUUUAGAGGAAGUAAAAGUCGUAACAAGGUUUCC